rnacentral:rRNA from 1 species
UACAGAGGAUGCAAGCGUUAUCCGGAAUCACUGGGCAUAAAGCGUCUGUAGGUCGCGAAUUAAGUCUGUUGUUAAAGAUCAGGGCCUAACCCUGAGAAAGCAAUGGAAACUAAUACGCUUGAGUGUGGUAGAGGUAGAGGGAAUUCUUAGUGUAGCGGUGAAAUGCGUAGAUAUUAGGAAGAACACCAAUGGCGAAAGCACUCUACUGGGCCAUAACUGACACUGAGAGACGACAGCUAGGGGAGCAAAUGGG